rnacentral:rRNA from 1 species
UGGGGGAUUUUGGACAAUGGGCGAAAGCCUGAUCCAGCGACGCCGCGUGGAGGACGAAGCCCUUCGGGGUGUAAACUCCUUUUCUCAGGGAAAAAAGCUGAUGGUACCUGAGGAAUAAGCCCCGGCUAACUACGUGCCAGCAGCCGCGGUAAUACGUAGGGGGCGAGCGUUACCCGGAAUUACUGGGCGUAAAGGGUGCGUAGGCGGCCGUGUGUGUCUGGCGUUAAAGUCCACGGCUCAACUGUGGGUAUGCGCUGGAAACUGCACGGCUUGGGUGCAGCAGAGGCAGACGGAACUGCUGGUGUAGGGGUGAAAUCCGUAGAUAUCAGCAGGAACGCCG